GGAACUUGCAGGAAGUUUGUUCGGUUUCCGGCUAACCCCAAGUUCUCAGAAACCUGUCCCUUCCCCAGCAUGUAAGAAGGGCGGCAGGGUCUCCUUGGGGAGCAGAGUGACAGGAAAUGUGACCCGGAGCUUUCUGAAGCCCCCGGAGCAGGGUUUCGGCCUGACAAGCCGGCAUCGGAUGCGGGCCGGGCUCUGCAGGUCCGGGGGACAGAGAGUUUAGGAGGUAAAAAUUCUGCUUCGUGAAACUUGCUCUGGAGAUGAAAUCCCUCGGGAGCAUCCCCGCCACCGUUUGGGUUCUGACUCUGGGAACGAUUAUCUGACUGACGUUAGUGACCCACCUUUUGAGAGAAACCCCGGGAAGUCACUGGGACAGGUUCCCAGCAGGCGGAGGUGGGAUUGUCGGCCGUCCCCCUCAGGCCCCUGCUUUCUCCUCCUAAAGCCAAUUUCUGUGAUCCGAGCUCGGUUUAAUGAGAUUAUAGACAGUAAAAUGGCGUUUUUGUAUUUCUCCUGGGCAUUGCUUAUCCGAGGCCGUGAGCUGUUAACUGAACACCAACCCUCACAAUUAUGGCCGCCUUCCUCAGGCAACCAGGGAGGAGCUUUGUAAUCAGUGUCCAGGAAUCUCCCAAUACCUCCCAAUGGAACUGGGCCCUUCUGUGCAUUUACAUCUAGUCCUCCCACGGGCUUCCCGGUCUGCAAAGAUCUGAGAGAUAAGAAAUCCUUUCUUGAGCUACAACCUCUGAAAAGACAGGGGAGAAAGAUCUAGAAAAGCAUCCUAAUAUUUUAGGAUAACACAGUAACAGCAACACCAUAACCCACAGGACAAGCAAAGAUUCUAAUUCCAAGCUCCAUGAAGAAGUCUUAUCAAACCGAUGUGUGUUUUUUUCAGCAGUUUUAUCCGCAUUUAAAUCUUCAUGAGAAGCCUUCUCUGUGUCAGAUUUUAGACAUGAACUUUCUUUGUCAUCUUCCAUUGUGUUACUGAGAAAUAAACCAUUCGAUUGCUCUUGGUCCUGUCCCA